CUCCGUCUCCCUCUCUCAAUCUCCCUCUCCCUCUCCCUAUCUCGAUCUCCCUCUCUUUCGAUCUCCCUCUCCUGAUCUCAACCCUCUCUUUCGAUCUCCCUCUCCCGAUCUCAACCCUCUCUCUCGAUCUCCCUCUCACUCUCCCUCCCACUCUCAAUCUCCCUCUCGUUCCGUGUAAUAGGUGUGGAGCCUCUAGCACAAGUGGUGAAUGCACCAGCUGCUGCUGAUCAGGACCAAGCUGCUACUCCAGUAGUGGUCGCAGUGGUCAUUGCUCUAGGCCUUGUGCUAAUCUGCUUGCAGCCGCCAGGGCGAAGAAUCGUGGUCGUCGAGUUCUGUAAUGGCAUCAACGACCUCAACAAUGUCAUCUUUCCAGAGGUCUGUGGAAGCUCUGCCAAGGUAUUUUUAUAAUUCCGCCAUCUUUCCUGCCUUUUUGUCAUUGUAAUCGGUGAUUCAGGAGUUAGGAAGUCAAAUCCGCUCUCGAGGUUCACCAGGAAUGAGUUCAGGUCGACGAUUGGGGUCAAGUUCGCAACUCGGAGCUUGAACGUCGACGAGAAGGUCACCAAAGCUUAGAUUCGGGCUUAGGUAUGCUGAAAGCAACCCACAAUAUGCUGAAUCCAGCAUUUUCUUGGUCAAAUUCCAACAACUUCAGGUUUAGGCAGCAAUUCAUGGCAGUGGUGGUAGUAGAACUUUUGUUUCUGAGGGCGUGGAAGCAUCUGCCAUUUAUAUUCACUUUAAGGCAGCAGCGGGUGAGGUAAUAGAUCCUCUGUUUCAAGUUGACUGCUUCAUGUACACAUUAGCAGGAUACCACAUGCUAACCAUGGGAUGGCUGCUUAAGUUAUACUUUUCUUUUCCUUUUCUUUUUCCGUUAGCUAUUUGAGCUGACUUUAUUGUUGGUUGGUUUUUGUCCUUCACAAUUAGCUUUUCUUUGUUGAGUUUUAUACAUUGUAUUGAGAUCAUGUUUCAGAUUAAUGAGAUUUUUUCCCACCAUUUUUUAUGAUUUCUAUAGCUAAUUGAUUACACGUGUGGAUUGAGCAAUUUUCUUACCUUGUACAUUUUAGAUCUCACUUCCACGAGGCACAUUGGCACGUGCAGGAAAGUAGAAUUCAAAAUUGUACUUUUGCAACUGUAUGUAGCCAGGAUAGGGUUUUGCACUUCCAAAACUAUUUAGUGUUCAUUGGUUGACCUUUCCAAGCUCUGAGUGAUCUCAUGACUAGUGAAUUAUCUUGUUGGUUUUAUGAUAUUUAUAAGCGGGAGUAGGAUUCAAUCUUGAUAUAUUAUAUUAUUAAUUAUAAUGUUAAAAAAUGGAUUAUAAGUGGGAGUAGGAUUCAAUUUUAUGAUAUUAUGUUUUUGGCACCAAAUAUCAGUUUGUAAAGGCAAUAUUGAUAGGUAAAAGAAAAUCAUUAAAAUUGUUUAGGUAGUACAUAAGUUUUCCGAAAAGAAAGAGAAAUUUAGAUUUUUGGCUAAUGGUUUGUGUCCUCUG